rnacentral:rRNA from 1 species
AAUUGAGAGUUUGAUCCUGGCUCAGGAUGAACGCUGGCGGUAUGCUUAACACAUGCAAGUCGAACGAGAGGUUUUUAAAGAUUUUUCUUAAAAAACUGAAAGUGGCGGACGGGUGAGUAACACGUGAGAAUCUGCCUUUAGGAAAGGGACAACAUUUGGAAACGAAUGCUAAUACCUUAUAUGCCUAUUAUAACUUGUAUAAUUAAUAGGUGAAAAGUUUUCUGCCUAGAGAGGAGCUCGCGGCUGAUUAGCUAGUUGGUGGGGUAAUGGCCUACCAAGGCGACGAUCAGUAACUGAUUUGAGAGGAUGAUCAGUCACACUGGAACUGAGACACGGUCCAGACUGCUACGGGAGGCAGCAGUGGGGAAUUUUCUGCAAUGGGCGAAAGCCUGACAGAGCAAUACCGCGUGAGGGAUGACAGUCCUAUGGAUUGUAAACCUCUUUUUUCAGGGAGGAAGUUCUGACGUUACCUGAAGAAUAAGCAUCGGCUAACUCCGUGCCAGCAGCCGCGGUAAUACGGAGGAUGCAAGUGUUAUCCGGAAUCACUGGGCGUAAAGCGUCUGUAGGUGGUUUAAUGUGUCUGUUGUUAAAUCUUAAGGCUCAACCUUAAACCAGCAAUGGAAACUAUUAUGACUUGAGUGUGGUAGAGGUAGAGGGAAUUUCCAGUGGAGCGGUGAAAUGCGUAGAUAUUGGAAAGACCACCAAUGGCGAAGGCACUCUACUGGGCCAUUACUGACACUGAGAGACGAAAGCUAGGGGAGCAAAUGGGAUUAGAUACCCCAGUAGUCCUAGCUGUAAACGAUGGAUACUAGAUGUCGCAUGUAUCGACCCAUGCGGUAUUAUAGCUAACGCGUUAAGUAUCCCGCCUGGGAAGUAUGCUCGCAAGAGUGAAACUCAAAGGAAUUGACGGGGGCCCGCACAAGCGGUGGAGCAUGUGGUUUAAUUCGAUGAUACGCGAGGAACCUUACCAGGGCUUAAAUGUAGAUUGCAUUAGCUAGAGAUAGCUAUUUCUUCGGACUAUCUACAAGGUGCUGCAUGGUUGUCGUCAGCUCGUGCCGUGAGGUGUCAGGUUAAGUCCUAUAACGAGCGCAACCCCUGUUGUUAGUUGCCAGCGAGUCAAGUCGGGAACUCUAACAAGACUGCCAGUGCAAACUGUGAGGAAGGUGGGGAUGACGUCAAAUCAUCACGGCCCUUACGUCCUGGGCUACACACGUGCUACAAUGGCAUCUACAGUGAGUUAAUCUCCAAAAGAUGUCUCAGUUCGGAUUGUCCUCUGCAACUCGAGGGCAUGAAGGCGGAAUCGCUAGUAAUCGCGGAUCAGCAUGCCGCGGUGAAUACGUUCCCAGGCCUUGUACACACCGCCCGUCACACCAUGGGAGUUGGAUUCACUCGAAG